rnacentral:rRNA from 1 species
AGCGAACGCUGGCGGCAGGCCUAACACAUGCAAGUCGAACGGGCACCUUCGGGUGUCAGUGGCAGACGGGUGAGUAACACGUGGGAACGUGCCUUUUGGUUCGGAACAACCCAGGGAAACUUGGGCUAAUACCGGAUAAGCCCUUACGGGGAAAGAUUUAUCGCCAAAAGAUCGGCCCGCGUCUGAUUAGCUAGUUGGUGAGGUAAUGGCUCACCAAGGCUACGAUCAGUAGCUGGUCUGAGAGGAUGAUCAGCCACAUUGGGACUGAGACACGGCCCAAACUCCUACGGGAGGCAGCAGUGGGAAUCUUGGACAAUGGGCGCAAGCCUGAUCCAGCCAUGCCGCGUGAGUGAUGAAGGCCUUAGGGUUGUAAAGCUCUUUCAGUGGGGAAGAUAAUGACGGUACCCACAGAAGAAGCCCCGGCUAACUUCGUGCCAGCCGCCGCCGUAAU